GACAGAGGUGCCGAGCGUUAGGCGGAAUCACUGGGCUUAAAGCGUGUGUAGGCGGGUCGUUAAGUGCCUUGUGAAAUCCCACCGCUCACCGGUGGAACUGCUUGGCAUACUGGCGAUCUUGAGCCACUUAGGGGCAACCGGAACAAACGGUGGAGCGGUGAAAUGCGCAGAUAUCAGGAGGAACACCGAUGGCGAAGGCAGGUCUCUGGGCAUUAACUGACGCUGAGGAGCGAAAGCAUGGGGAGCGAACAGG
rnacentral:rRNA from 1 species